GUUUUUAGAUGCCUACAUGGAGGAUUGCAUGGUAAGAGCUCACAUCAAGAAUGGAGUCGUAAAGGAUGAAAAAACAAAAAUUAAUCAAUUCGACUUAUAGUAAACUAGCUGACCCGGUGAACUUCGCACCGCCUAACAGUCAAUGAAUGUCGUGUUACUUUUUAGCUGAAAUAAUUUAGGCUUUGAUGAACGUAAAACAAUGAUACAAAAUAAUAUGUUUAUAUAGAUAGAGACAAAAAAAGUACCUACUUAAUAGCGCGUGAUUUCAUCGUUGGUAUUGGAUGUUUGGAUACCAAAAACCACCAUGUCGCUCCCUUUCGUGACAUAUUUGCAAAUGCAUUUAAUUGACUUGACCGAAUUGCAAUCACUUGGCAUGCGCUCUAAAGCAGUCUUGAACAUCCUGACCAAUGCAUGAUGUUCAUGAAGCAUUUGCUGUAGAUAUUGGACAAUUGCUCUCUUCGUAGCUGUGUUGACGCCUGUCAAGUUGUUCUUCCAUAUUGCCCAUAUUGCAAGAAUUUAUGCUGUGCAUCUUCUAUAGGUUGCAAUGAUCCAAUGCGAUGGUAAUAGGAUUUUCAUUCAAGCACUUUGUGGUAAACGACAUUUUUUGUUUUUUGGUCAGGCGCAAGAACAAAUAAAGCGGAUGGUUUGCCGACACGUGACAAUGUCACGUACAAUUGAACAUGAGAAAAACAUUCAUUUUCUAGAUUGAGGCCACAAAUAGUCAAGGAUGGGCCCUGUGAUUUGUUGCUCGUCAUGGCGAAGGCAAUACGAAUCGGGAAUUGAAUUCUCAAAAGGGCAUAUCCGUUGGUAUCAUCGGAAUCCUUGGAAUAAGAUCUUAAUAAUCUUUAAAUUUUCAUUGCUCAUGAGUUUUCUUAUCACCAAACGCGUUCCAUUGCAUAGUUUUGGUUGGUUUAAAUUUCUAAGCAUGCUGACUACCGAGCCAACUUUAAGUUUUAAAUUGUGCGGUGGUAAACCAGGCACAUCCAAGGAGUUUAAAAAUUCAGUUGGAUAAUAUGUGGCUUCUUCUUCGUUUGUUACACAGCCGAUAGAUUUGAAUGAAUAUGGAGUACCUACGAUUUGAUUUUGAAUUAUAAGAUUGAGGUCAUCUACAUCUUUAUUUUUGCAAUGAUAUCCGGGAAUACGUUGUUGAUAAGCUCUUUUGAUGAUACGAAAUUGCAAAAAUUUGGUGGAAAUUAAAUCAAACCGCUCGAUUUGUCAACAGGAACACGGCCAUUACCGAUAGUCAGCAAUUGCUUCGAGAAAUCAUCGGCAGAUAGAUCGUUCAACAAUGAAACUCUCAUAUUUACAGGCAGUUGAAGUUUCUUUACAUAUCGCCACAGAUUUGAUGCUUUGAGGCAAGCGUUUAUUUCGUCUGCAGCCGUAGAUCUUGGAAUGACUGGUAGUGUUUGUCGGAAAUCGCCAGAUAAUAAAAUCAUUGCACCACCAAAACAUCUCAAGUCAUUGCGCAGAUCUUUAAAUGUUCGGUCUAGUGCUUCCAAUGCGCGUUUGUGAGCCAUUGUGCAGUCGUCCCAUAUGAUGAUUUUUGAUGCUACUAAAACUUUGGCCAUUGCGGAGUUUUUCGAAAUGUUACAUGUCGGUUGUUCAGUAGUUUGAAGGUUUAUUGGCAAUUUUAACGCUGAGUGAGCCGAACGGCAUCCGUCUAACAAUGUGACCGCUAUUACAGAAGAAGCAAUUGCUACCGCAAUUUCGGAUCUCGCACGUACAGUGGCCAAAAUCAAUGACAUGGGGAAUGUCUUCCCAGUUCCACCGGGGGAACCACCAUUUCCAUCAUCAAUUGCAUUAAUCAGUGUAUCAUAGACUUCCCUCUGCUUAGGAUUCAACAGAGGUACAUUCGUUUGAACUGAUUGGAUUAGUUCAUGUGGAUCAUAUUCAUGUUCACGUUCCAAUUCUCUAUUAAAUGCGUCAUUCAUUCCGCGAUCUGGUGCUGGCAUUCCUAACCUAACUAACAAACUGCCGCACAUGAGGUAACACAUAUCUUCGAUCAAGAACAAAGUCUGGUUAUGGAUCUCCUCAUUCACCUCAAAAUCGUAAUUUCUUGAGCUGACGCGAUUUCGAUGUAAAAUAUCUUCGGACAUGUUAUCUUUGUAUUUGUUCCACAGGUCAAGUGGGUUCGAUGGGAAGCAUGUUGAAAUGAUGAUAGCAAAUAAUGUGCGUAUCUGACUUGGAGAUGCAGAAAUAAUUACUUCAGCGAUUGUCGUGUCCCAAUGAGUAUCGUUUUCAAGCAAAUUUAGCUCUUGACUUGCUGCACGAAAUGUGGGGCACACGAUACCAUUAACAGUUCGCAGUGAUUCAAAUGAUGUUGGCCCUCGAACAUGUACCAGCAACAACCGCAAAUAGAAACAUUCAUCAUUCUUCGGAUGAACUGUGUAAAUACGACCAAGAGCAUCAGUAGAACGCAUAUCUGUCGAUGGUGCAAUCAUACAGAAACGCUGCUCGAUUCAAACCAUUUCUUCUUGCACUUCAAAGAUUAUUCAUCUUUUCUUCUGUACGAUAAGAUCGACGAUUUCUCUCUCUCUGCUCUUGUGUUUGAGAAGCACGAAUUAAGGCCCUUCUUUGCUCCAUAUUAACGCGGCGCUGUUCUCGUGCAAUUUCAGAUAAUUGACUCGUGAUAUUCCGUUGCCUAAUUGCAUUACGGCUUCGCUCGUAAAGAUUGGAUCUUAUAG
rnacentral:lncRNA from 1 species